AACUCUCACCUGCAGCACUCUUUUAUUAGAGGGCUGGAGCGUGGACGUGAGUGCUGCUGGUGCCCUCGCUGCAUCGGCUCACUUGAAAUUUAUUAGCUGAAUCCUCUAGUGUUGGUUCUACUCGACGUGAUAAGAUCUCCGUCGAGGACAGUGCUCCUUGUGGGCGUUGGCCACCGCUAGCUGUUGAUACGCUCCUAAUUAGCGCAGACUUCGAGUGCUGGCAACUUUUGACA
rnacentral:misc_RNA from 1 species